UACAGAGGGUGCGAGCGUUGUCCGGAAUCACUGGGCGUAAAGGGCGCGUAGGUGGUGGCUUAAGCGUGCGGUGAAAGCUCGGGGCUCAACUCCGAGUCGGCCGUGCGAACUGGGCUCACUGGAGCAUAGUAGAGGCAGGUGGAAUUCCCGGUGUAGCGGUGAAAUGCGCAGAUAUCGGGAAGAACACCCGUGGCGAAGGCGGCUCUCUGGGACGGUACUGACGCUCAGGUGCGAAAGCCAGGGGAGCGAACGGG
rnacentral:rRNA from 1 species